UACGAAGGGGGCUAGCGUUGUUCGGAAUUACUGGGCGUAAAGCGCACGUAGGCGGAUACUUAAGUCAGGGGUGAAAUCCCGGGGCUCAACCCCGGAACUGCCUUUGAUACUGGGUAUCUCGAGUCCGGAAGAGGUGAGUGGAAUUCCGAGUGUAGAGGUGAAAUUCGUAGAUAUUCGGAGGAACACCAGUGGCGAAGGCGGCUCACUGGUCCGGUACUGACGCUGAGACGCGAAAGCGUGGGGAGCGAACAGG
rnacentral:rRNA from 1 species